rnacentral:rRNA from 1 species
UACGUAGGGUGCGAGCGUUAAUCGGAAUUACUGGGCGUAAAGCGUGCGCAGGCGGUUUUGUCAGCCAGAUGUGAAAUCCCCGGGCUUAACCUGGGAAUGGCAUUUGGGACUGCAAGGCUUGAGUGCGGCAGAGGAGACUGGAAUUCCCGGUGUAGCAGUGAAAUGCGUAGAUAUCGGGAGGAAUACCGAUGGCGAAGGCAGGUCUCUGGGCUGACACUGACGCUCAUGCACGAAAGCGUGGGUAGCAAACGGG